rnacentral:tRNA from 1 species
AUUGUAUCUCCUGUCAUAAGAAAGCGCUCUUAGUUCAGUUCGGUAGAACGCGGGUCUCCAAAACCCGAUGUCGU